rnacentral:lncRNA from 1 species
GAAACCUCCCCGGAGUGUGUGUGGUGUUUCCGCUGCCUACCGGAAACAACAUUCUUAGAGCUGGAGGCGUCUACCUCCUUCCCAGACACGGCCUUUUUCACUGUGCCUUGUCUGCAUUCUGGACCACCAGGAGCCAUGAGAGAGAGAGAGAGAGAGGAAAUCGCUUCCGUGGAGCAUAAAAUAGUCUGUUGUGCAAAAGCAAAAGCAGCUGGUGGAGUUUAUAGAAAGCAGCAGAGCCCAAUGUGAUGAAUUGUGAACAUGCUUGUGUUUAAAGCAAGCACUGACAUAAAGAGGCAACAGAACACGGUGCAUGCAUCUAUUUCGCUCAAGAAACACGCACAAUAGUUAGGACGCUGCAACAGGACUAGAAGAGGAGCCACGAAACUCUGGGAUAAGGCCGUGUUUUCCUCUCCCCCAUUUAGACAUCAGGUGUAGAGGAUUAAGGGAAUUCUUUCACUGUGGCAUACCUCAUGCUUUGCCUUAGCUUUCUCUCUCCUCCCCUUCACCCCUGCUCCCACGUCCCUCACUCUAGUUCACAGGCACUGAGUGACACAUGUGGUGUAUCCCACUGGGUCUGUAAGCGUCUUUGAAAAACAUAGCACCUGUUCUUUGUGAGUUGCUGUUGAAAACUUGUAUUGAUAAUGUGAUGGCUAACUGUGGCGUCACCUUGAACAAGAAACGCCCAGGGGACUGGUUAGCGUGGGUGUGUCCAGAUGACUGAUUCCCUG